UCUCCAAGAAAUCUCUUGAUCUGCGGGACACUGGCUCAGUGGCUGAAUGACAUUCUCUUCCCAACAACAGAUCUAAUCACUAAUCUUUUCAUCCACUGUAAAUUGUAGCUGUUGGCUCAGAUCCCAGGUAACCUAUCAGACAGGCUAUACUGCUGCAUAUGAAAUUAACAAAGAAAAUGCCUUUCACUUUUAGGUGCACCUUAUUCAAAAUACUGUAUAAUCUACUUAGAGUGGCAAAAAGAUAAAACUUUGUAUCAUAUAUUUUCAUGUAUUGGUUCAACUGUCUCUGACACAUUGCUUUAUAUGAUCAUAGUACCCGAAAUGCACUAAGAAACAUAUUUUUCUGCAGGAUUUACUGAUGGAAAUCAGAAAUAAAUACCCCAUUUUCCUUUGACGACUGUAGUGCACUGACCCUCAUAUUUUCUGCAUUGUACAUCUGGAGGAGGGUUAGUGCUCAAAGAAAGUGCCCUAGUCUGUCAUUUUCUCCCAUUAAGUUUAACAUAAAAUAAUCCACAACACAGCUCUACUAUGACCUUUGCUCCCUAUUCAUCCAACCUGCAAGAUACUGUUUGUUUCCUGUGACAUGCACAUCUGGAUACGUGUACCACUCAGUAUAAAAGCGACUCUUUCCAACACGAAUCCAUUGCGCUGUGCUGCCACACGGUGGCGCCAUCGGCCAAACCGUAGUUCCGUCUUCUCCAGGGAGGUGUGGGCCGCUCCUAUUCCUGGCAGGCCCAGCGCAAACACGCAUCGUCCGUUUCCACCGAGCUGUAAGUCCACUCCUCCACACGGAGCUAAAAGUGCUGCAUCUGCUGCAUGAUUAUCGGAUGGAUUUGGACUGUUUGCUCUGCACUGAAGGGGGAGCAAAGCAGCAGCAGCAGCAUCAGCAGCAGCAUCAGCAGCAGACGGGGAGACCUCUGCCUGUCGUAACGCAUCUCAGUCCCCACCAGGGUCACACCACUCUCUGAUGCGACAAUCGUCAUCAACGUCACUCUGUCUCCAUAGCAACCGCACCGGGCACAGCAUCCCCAAGCAGAUGUUGGAGGGUUAACGGAAAAGUGAGAGUGAAAAGAGGAGAACACAGCAUCUCUCUCUCUUUCUCUCUGUUUUAUUUGCAGUGUGAAUUCAGCAUAAAGAAAAGAAAAGCCUGAGGCCAUGCAAGCAGCUCUGCGAGGCAGACACAGCAGUGCUCUGAGCUAAAUGCUAACGUCAGCUUGCUCACAUGCUCACAAUAAAAAUGCUAACAUGUUGAUGCUAAGCAGCUAUAAUGUUUAUGUUCUAGUUAAAAUAAUCAAACUAACUACAUUUACUCAGGUACUGUACUUAAGUAACCUACAGUUUUAAGGUACUUGUACUGUACUCCACUACAACUCAGAGGUAAAUUUUGUUACUGCACAACAUUUAUUUGAUAACUCAAGUUACUAAUUACUUCCUAGAUUCAAAAAGUACAAUCAACAAAUACAUUAUGAUGUAUAAGAUAAAAGACUUUAUUGAUCCCCUAUUAAACCAAACAUUAUAUAAAGUAAUUAAAAUUUGCCUGAUUAUUACCACCUGCAACAGUAAAGUGAUUUUCUGCAUUAUGAUUAUAAUCCAUUAAUAUAAAUUAGUCUAAAAUGGGUCAUUCUGCAUAAUUAGUACUUUUGGUACUUUAAAUGUAUUUUGAUGCUUUUAUAGGUAAAAUUUUGAAUGCAUGGUAUUUACUUGUAACAGACUAUUUCUACACUGUGGUAUUAGCUCACGACUUUCAUUUAAGUAUAAGAUACCUCUUCCACCACUGCAUAAAACAUAUGAACUUAAAUAUGACGCAUUGCUAUAGAUAAAACUACUCAACAAGCUCUAUCUUGACCAACUAUAAAAGGCUAAUUACAGUAUAACACACUUAGCCUACAUAUCACUGCAUCAGUACAUACAUCAGUGCAUAUUUCCACCUGCUGGUGGCGCAAAAGCAAAAGUCAGAGGAUCAUUAAAGUCGUUAGGUUUUAUCUUCUCGGGACCAUGAAUUUCAUAUAUUAUGUCUAUGUAGUAGCUGCAAGCAAAAGGUGACAAAUCAAAAAGGCAAGAAACACUCCUCAGUUCACAUUUUUAUUAGGAAAAUCAUUUUGCAGAUUUGAUUAUUAUUAUAAUAUAUAUAUAUACAUAUAUAUAUAUAUAUGUAUAUGUAUAUAUAUAUAUGUAGUUAUUUUUAGUUAUUUAGAGGAUGCAUCAGCACAGUAUAUCUUAAUAGGAAGACUAUUGCUAGAAUAAAUAUCUAUACAUCAUAAUUAUUAAAUAAAAAAAAGUUCCAACAGAAGAAAAAAAUAAAUCAA